rnacentral:tRNA from 1 species
UGAAAGAAUUAGUUUAAAAAAAACAUAAAUUUGUCAAAUUUAAAAUAUGUAUUAUAUUCUUUUAU